rnacentral:lncRNA from 1 species
AUUCUAUUAAAAAUAUAUUUUAUAAAAAUAAUAAGAUAUAAAUCAUAAAUAUAGAAAAGUAUUAAAAUGAUCCAUAUAUUUACUAAAUUUAUCUAUCCUAUCAUAACUAUCAUUAUAAAAAUGGAUCAUCUCCAAAAACCAUCAUUAUAAUUAUGGCCUUCAUUCCUAUCUCCAUUGUUUUUAGUCUUCUUCAUCUCAUUUUCUUUAUUUUCUAACUAUAUGAACUUUAAUCAAGAAUUCUUUUUAGCAAUAUUCCUCUUUUUUGCAUCAAAUCCCUCAACAAGAUAAUGAAACCUACAAUGUUUUCUAAAUGACUUUGUAUUUCAUUCUCAAGUUUACAAAGUACAUUAAAAUUAAUGUAUAAUAAAUGCUUCAUAUUCUAUUGAGAAAGUCUCUUGGUAUAAAAUCAUAUUAUAUAAUCAAAGCAUUCUAAUAAUAUUGACAAAAAAUAAGUAUUUCAAUAAAUAUGAAAAAAUAGCAUAUGAGUAGUAAAUAAUGGCCCUUGAAUUUAUUUAAGAGCUUGUGAUUGAAAAAUACAAUUUUUUCACUUAUAAGGUACAAUUAUUCCAAAAACUAUGAACAAGAGCCAACAAGCAUACUUUAAAAUUAAUAUAUCACUUGAAAGACUUUUUUUAUAUAUAAUAGAAUUGUUGAGAGUAAUCUUAUGGAGGGUACUAAAUACAUAUGUUGUAAAUUAUUUUAAACCAGGAUUAUUAAGUUAUCUAAAUAUAUCAUCCGAAAAGAUUAAAAUUACAUGGUGUUAUUAUUAAAAUCAAAACAUUCACACUCUACGACCUAUUAUAAUCUCCACAUGGUCAUAAUUUCUAAAACCUAAAACAUCAAGAUAAUCACAAUUGACAUUGCAUACGUAUAAAGUAACAUAUAUUUUUUGGAGCUAAUUUAUUGCUUAGACAUCUUCUAGUUGAUUUUUUAGCUUUAUAAUUUUUUUUUCU